GGAGAAUCUGGUGAGAAUCAGCUUAGUGUUUUUUUACAACGGGGAGAAGACGAUGAUACUUUCCAGCUUCAAAAGCUUCUUUAUUUAUUAUUAUUUGAGCUCCUUAUUCUACCCAAGCAAUGGUUUUGAGGUGAUCCAGCCACAGAAUAAGACUAAUAACCCAGAUACAGUUUUCAUCAGCUGUAACUUUACAGCAAACACUGGGACAAUUGUAGAUGUUCGACUCAACAAGGUUUUACCAGAGAAAAAGAUGCUCUGCCAGACUGAAUCUGAAGCCUGUCAUAACAUUAUCGUACUUAAAGACGCUCCAUUCAAGUACAUUUUCAUCUUACUCAAUGCUGGGCCAGAGGCAUGGACCUCAAAGUAUGAAUGUGAGUGGUCAGCAACAAAUAAGGAUGGGACGGACAAAACCGUGACAAGUGCAGCAAACAAAUUAAUUAAACUGCAACUACAAGGUCAACUGGGAACCACACCACAGUGUACUCCUCCCCCUUCACCUCCUCCCCCUCAGUCCCAUCAGCUCAUGUGGAUUUUGAUUGGUCUGCUGGCCCUGAUGUUUGUGUACAGCUGUAUCAUCACCUCCUUCUACAUGAGGCUUAUGAUGUUUGUUAUCAUCUUGCCCGGACGCAACGUUAAAAGGUCCACAAAGCAGCUGAAAGCAGCUUUUAUGAUGGUCAGCCAGGUAAUAGAUGAAGGGAGAUGUUUUGGUAGAGAUUUUUACACAGCCGUAGUUCAUUUUCUAAAUGAGAAAGAAUUCAGGUUUAAACUUUUAUAUAAGGUCUAUGAUAUGACCACAGCUUUCACUGUUGUUGAGGGCUUCGGGAGCUUCUUUUGAUCGUUGUUAUUUUGAGACUUUCUUAGUCUGAAAUCAUAUUUGUUUGUUUUUCCAAUUACAAUUUAAAAAGAUUUUUGUUUCCAACUCAGUAUAAGCUGUUUAUAAGCUGCUUUGAAAUUCUGCUUUUUUUACAUUCACAACAGACGAUACAAAGCCAUAAAAUAAUUGUUCAGCUCAUAACAACACACAGUGGAUGUUCCGUGUCAACCUCAAGAGUUCUUUGAAAUGAAACAUCAAACUGACCCACACAGAUUUUUAUUGACAUCAGACAUUGUUACAGUUAGACACACACAAGUUAAAUUUAUAAUGUUUCCUAAUAAGCUGACUGUAAAUAUGAAAUGCACAAAAGCAGGACGUCCCCAAAACUGAAUGCAGUUUUAAUGCAUCAUUUUCUGCUAUGAGACUGUAAAACGCCUGCUGAGCAAUAGGCUCCAGCCCUUGUAACAUAACUAAUGUGAAAUUAGUCUAUAAGGUGUUCUUUAGAGUUAAAAGACUUUCAAAUACUUACUGCUUUUCUUUGUUACAUAAAUUCCAUC
ensembl:lncRNA